rnacentral:piRNA from 1 species
UAGUGGUUGCGUACGAUUGCGUCGGCGG